GUUUGAGAAAAGCUUUGCCUUAAAUGCAUGGGGAGAAGUGAUCAGGGCAGCGAACAGAGCAUCAUUCAGAUAGGAGAACAGAGCCUCUAUUACUGACACAGCAUCGAGCCAGCACACCUCCUACCACUAAGACUCAGUAGAUUUUGCGGGCAAAAGACACACCAUGAGUGACGAUCAGAGCCUCUCAGAAGUUGAGAUGAGCCCAGUUGGGUCUGAAGAUCCUUCUCUAACACCUGAGCCUCUUGCAUCUCAUGCCCAUUCUGGUCCAGAUGAAGAUGAAGAUGGAAAGGUGAAGAAAGAGCAUGAUUCAGAGGAUGAAAGGUUUCCUGUCUGCAUUCGUGAAGCUGUCUCCCAAGUCUUGAGUGGUUAUGACUGGACAUUAGUUCCUAUGCCAGUGAGGGUCAAUGGUAGCAAUAAGUCUAAACCACAUGUGAAACGACCCAUGAAUGCUUUUAUGGUAUGGGCACAAGCUGCCCGCCGUAAGUUGGCUGAUCAGUAUCCACACCUACAUAAUGCAGAGCUGAGCAAAACACUUGGCAAGCUUUGGAGAUUAUUGAAUGAAAACGAUAAAAGACCUUUCAUCGAAGAAGCUGAGAGACUGCGGAUGCAGCAUAAGAAAGACCACCCAGAUUAUAAAUAUCAGCCUCGUAGAAGAAAAAAUGGGAAGCCCACCACUGGAGAGGGAGAUGGUUCCUCUGAAAAUGAAGGAGGUGCUGCAUCCAUACAGGCCCACUACAAAAACUCACAUCUGGACCAUAGACAUGGCUCCCCUAUGUCUGAUGGGAACUCAGAACAUUCCACAGGACAAAGUCAUGGUCCUCCCACCCCACCAACAACACCCAAAACUGAACUUCAAGGUGGAAAGUCUGAUGGAAAGAGAGAUGGAUCUCGUUCUCUUGCAGAUGGAGGGAAACCACACAUUGAUUUUGGCAACGUUGAUAUUGGGGAAAUAAGCCAUGAUGUUAUGUCCAAUAUGGAGCCAUUUGAUGUCAAUGAGUUUGACCAGUAUCUUCCACCUAAUGGUCAUGCAGCACACCCCAGUCAUAUUGGGGGUUACACAUCCAGCUAUGGUCUCAGUGGAGCCUUAGCUGCUGGCCCCUCUGCUUGGGCUCUGGCAAAGCAACAUGCUCCCAAUGUGGCAGACUCAAAAGCUCAGGUGAAGACGGAAAACUCAAGUACCAGCCACUAUACAGAACAACCGUCCACUUCACAGCUGACCUACACCUCACUGGGGCUGCCACACUACGGUUCAGCCUUCCCUUCCAUCUCAAGACCACAGUUCGACUACUCAGACCACCAACCAACAAGUUCUUAUUACAGCCAUUCUAGUCAGGCAUCUGGGCUGUACUCGGCGUUCUCCUACAUGGGCCCUCCACAGCGUCCUCUUUAUACUGCAAUUUCUGAACCACCUACUGUGGCUCCUUCACAUAGCCCAACACAUUGGGAACAGCCUGUCUACACCACCCUGUCAAGACCAUGAGAAUUACUGAGAAACAGGCAAAGGAGGGACAUCUUUCGGAGAGAACCAUACUCCGAUGGGGUCCUCUCACAGCUCAAAUCCCAGGAACCUGAAGCGACUUGACAUCAGGCACGGAACUUCCUCUUCUCUCAGUGCCUUUGACAACAAAAAUGAGAUUCAGGGCCUAAUGGUGUCUUCAAAAUUUGUUUAUUACGGGGCUGGAAGCAGUUAAAUACACGUGAUAGUAGAUGGGUCACAGAAGUGGAUAAAAACUUUACAGAUUUUCUAAAAAGGCAGGAGCUAUGUUAUACAUUGCUUCAUGCUCUAUAAGAUAUCUGGUAGUAGGAUACCAGAUUAGCUUUAUGAAAAAGCUCCUUUACCAUAUCUAAUGAUAUGUGUCUUUCAACUCUAUAUAAGUGGAGAAUUUAUUGGGACAGGCUCUUAAUAGAGGGCUUAAAAAAUCCCAGGCCAAUGUACAAGGGCCUAUGUUAUAUGCCGACUUUCUUUAGUCAUUUAAUGUUCAUAGACCCUGGCUCUUUAAAUGUUUGAUAUUGAAUCUUAUAUUUUCUGUUCAUUCAUGCCUUAAUGUGAUCCCUUAAGAUGAUACAGUAGCUCAAUAUUCAUAAAACAUCAUACCAUUAUAAUAACAUUUACAUUAAAGGGCUUCUCCGGGAAUGAUUUAAAAUGGCUGCCAGCAACCUACCCUAAUAUGUAAGCAGGACUGGUUGCAACUACAUGCAGAGUUGCCUAGAGGGGUGUAGGGGUGGAGCCUCACUACACUGCUCUACAACAGAUGGUAAUGAUGUGACCCCGCCUAUGAUAUGCCAUCAUGGUUGAGCAGCCUGAUAGGAAAACUUACCAAUAUGUACUAUAGGCAAGUGCUAGAUCGUAGAGUAUAGUGAGGCCCUGCUCUCCCCCCUUCCCCCAGGCAGCUCUGCAGGUGGAGGCAACCAGUCCUGCUCACAAUCUAGGACAAGUUGCUGGCGGCCAUUUUAAAUCAUUCCCAGAGAAUGCCUUUAAGCAUCCAGUAGUCACGCACAAACACUGUAAGACUUUGAAGGUAGGCUUUAUGCAUAUCUGCGUUGGAGGUUCCUCUAAUACAGAUGCUACCAAAAGAGCCAUACAAAAUAGAGCAGCAUGCUGCAUCAUUUUGUCUGGUAAAAUGGAGGGCUCUGUGAUGAAAACCCCUUGAUUUCAGUUCCAUGCUGUAUCUGGCACUUCCAUUAUUUUUGACGUUCUGCUCCUAGGAUAGAGCAGAACAACAGAAAUCCAUAACUGCAAUGUGAACAUAGCCCCUAUUAGACUAGAUGAAUUUCGGGCCAAUUAUAAGGAACAAGAGUUCAUAGGAACACUCGAUUCCAAUAAUAGCCCAGUAUGAUUGUGCUGAUCAGUCAAUAAAUGAGCAAAUGUUUGUUUGUCAGCUGAUUUGCAUCUUUCAUUCAGAAUGAAAUAUGCACGAUUAUCGGCAUAGCAUUCCCCUAUGUAAUCAGGGCUAUGCUGCCGAAUGUCAUUAGCACUAAAUAGGGGAAGAACGAUUGCAGUAGCAAUCACUUCGCAUUAGCCUGUGGAAGCGCCAAACAAUAAGCACAUGGAACGGCACAAAAUACAGUGUUAUCACAUAUACUACAGUAGGAAGUCAGUAUAGUUACUUACUACGUGUGGCUACAAUAGCCAGCUUAGCAGAAAUAUUUAUUAAAAACUAAUAAAACACCUUUAACAUCAAAUAUUUAAUUUCAGCAAGGUUAUUGCCACUGAACUCCACAGGUAGUUGACUGUAUGACUGGAAGAAUGUAUGAUGGAAGUACUGCAUCUGUAUGUCUUUGGGUCAUAUAAGCUGGUAAUCCAACUGGAUCAGUCAGCAAUAAUAUAACGCCCGUCUCUACCUUUCCCAGUUAUAAGCAAGAAAAUCUGCUUUAAUCACAUACAAGUGACUGGGUGCAACAAUAAAAGCAGAAAAAAUGUAUACAACCAGCUAUUCCAGAUAAACUGAGGAUUUCAACGGUUAAAUAUGGCGUCCUUUGUGCUCCCUCCCAUUUCGGCCCCUCCCCAGGACCAAUCCAACAGUCUCCGGUUCCUCAUGAUCGUAUCACUCAGCAUGAAAAACAAAGGCUCUAUUUAAUGGAGCUCUUGAGAAUCUGACCCCGGAAAAGCCAGAACUGCUCCUGCAGAUUUACACACAAAGCCGCGUCUGCACGGAUGAAAUUUCACAUCCCCAAUGUGAUUAAGGGAUUCUGCUGUGGGACGCUGGCCUGAUUAGCUAAUUAACCCUAUUUGGCCAAAUUUAACCUUGCAGUUGCUGACAACAUAACUAGCCAUCCCUUAUUUCACCAGUAAGCAAGCCUUUGAAGUGUCUUUACACUAAUUUCAUUCAAAGUUCUUGUGUCCAUAUAGGAUAAGUUAAUAUAACUCAAUACAGGACUGUAAACACUUCAGGCCGAGAACAUUUCUGAAAAACAGACUUUUUUGUACAUUUUUCUCAAGCAAAACCAUAACUACCAGCUUUUCAAGUGAAAUAUACAGAAAUGUUUAAUCACUAGCUAAGAUUGCAGUGAUAUCUCAAUGAUAUCUCAAACGUGUCACGGACGUGUCAUGGUUGCAACACAGCUGCACCUCAGUUGAGUAUUACAUGGUGCAGUUGCAACACGGCUGUGCCUCAGUUGAGUACAUGUCAUGGUUGCGACACAGAUGUGCCUCUGUUGAGUACCACAUGACCCAGUUGCGACACAGCUGUGCCUCUGUUGAGUACCACAUGACACAGCUGUGCCUCUGUUGAGUACCACAUGACCCAGUUGCGACACAGCUGUGCCUCUGUUGAGUACCACAUGACCCAGUUGCGACACAGCUGUGCCUCUGUUGAGUACCACAUGACCCAGUUGCGACACAGCUGUGCCUCUGUUGAGUACCACAUGACCCAGUUGCGACACAGCUGUGCCUCUGUUGAGUACCACAUGAUCCAGUUGCGACACAGCUGUGCCUCUGAGUACCACAUAACCCAGUUGCGACACAGCUGUGCCUCUGUUGAGUACCACAUAACCCAGUUGCGACACAGCUGUGCUUCUGUUGAGUACCACAUGACCUAGUUGCGACACAGCUGUGCCUCUGUUGAGUACGACAUGACCCAGUUGCGAUACAGAUGUGCCUCUGUUGAGUACUACAUGACGCAGUUGCAACACAGUUGUGCCUCAGUUGAGUACUACAUGUCAUUGUUUGCAACACAGCUGUGCCUCAGUUUAGUAUGACAUGGCACGGUUGCGAUACAGAUGUGCCUCUGUUGAGUCCCACAUGAUGCAGUUACGACACAGCUGUGCCAUAGUUGAGUACCACAUGGCACGGUUGCAACACAGCUGCACAAAAACAAUAUGUAGGAAAGACAAAAAGAGAAUUCAGGAGACGGAUAGGAUAACACUUACUGAGUAUCAACAAACAGGAUGACACUCCUUUGGCGCAACAUGUCGUGAAAUUCCAUUCUGGAAUGAAGGACUGUAUGAAAUUCCAAGGAAUGGAACAUGUGAUAAACUCACCGAGAGGAGGAGAUAUUGACAAUCUGCUGUUAAGAAAGGAAGCACAAUGGACGUUCACAUUGUAGACGGUUAAACCCUAUGGGCUAAAUUAUUUUAUAUCAUAUCCGUGUUUUAUCUAGUGGGUACGGAUAUUCAAUAAGUGCUAACUAUGUACACAGUAAAGCUUUUUAUACAUCUAGUUAGGUUGUUAUAUUGGUUACACAUCAGCAUUAAGUAACUAUACAGCUACUAUAAUGACCCCCCAAUUUUUGAUGAUCAUUACUAAUAUUAUCAUUUUUGUAUAUAUGUAUUUAGGGGCCAUUUAUUUGCUGCGAUAUUCAGACAAAUAUACCACAGGUUAUCCAUUGCUUGAUAAAAAUUCCCUAUACUUGUAAUAUUAUUUGAGUAUUAUAAUAUCAUAAACAUCAUCAUGAUGAUUAGGAUAUAUAGGGUAUAUAGAACCUAAUAUACCAGGGCUUGUCUGUAUUAAUUUUCUUAACUAAACACAUGACUGAUUA